CGACAGGCUUAACACAUGCAAGUCGAGGGGCAGCGGGGGUAGCAAUACCCGCCGGCGACCGGCGCACGGGUGAGUAACGCGUAUGCAACUUACCUAUCAGAGGGGGAUAACCCGGCGAAAGUCGGACUAAUACCGCAUGAAGCAGGGAUCCCGCAUGGGAAUAUUUGCUAAAGAUUCAUCGCUGAUAGAUAGGCAUGCGUUCCAUUAGGCAGUUGGCGGGGUAACGGCCCACCAAACCGACGAUGGAUAGGGGUUCUGAGAGGAAGGUCCCCCACAUUGGUACUGAGACACGGACCAAACUCCUACGGGAGGCAGCAGUGAGGAAUAUUGGUCAAUGGCCGAGAGGCUGAACCAGCCUAUUCUCGUGAGGGAUGAAGGUUCUAUGGAUCGUAAACCUCUUUUAUAAGGGACCAACGUGCGGGACGUGUCCCGUUUUGUAUGUACCUUAUGAAUAAGGAUCGGCUAACUCCGUGCCAGCAGCCGCGGUAAUACGGAGGAUCCGAGCGUUAUCCGGAUUUAUUGGGUUUAAAGGGUGCGUAGGCGGCCUUUUAAGUCAGCGGGGAAAGUCGGUGGUUCAACCAUAGAAUUGCGGUUGAAACUGGGGGGCUUGAGUAAGUUGGAGGCAGGCGGAAUUGCGUGGUGUAGCGGUGAAAUGCAUAGAUAUCACGCAGAACCGCGAUUGCGAAGGCAGCCUGCCAAGCCAUUACUGACGCUGAUGCACGAAAGCGUGGGGAUCAAACAGGAUUAGAUACCCUGGUAGUCCACGCAGUAAACGAUGAUCACUAGCUGUUUGCGAUACACUGUAAGCGGCACAGCGAAAGCGUUAAGUGAUCCACGUGGGGAGUACGCCGGCAACGGUGAAACUCAAAGGAAUUGACGGGGGCCCGCACAAGCGGAGGAACAUGUGGUUUAAUUCGAUGAUACGCGAGGAACCUUACCCGGGUUUGAACGCAUUCGGACCGAGGUGGAAACACCUUUUCUAGCAAUAGCCGUUUGCGAGGUGCUGCAUGGUUGUCGUCAGCUCGUGCCGUGAGGUGUCGGCUUAAGUGCCAUAACGAGCGCAACCCUUGCCACUAGUUACUAACAGGUAAAGCUGAGGACUCUGGUGGGACUGCCAGCGUAAGCUGCGAGGAAGGCGGGGAUGACGUCAAAUCAGCACGGCCCUUACAUCCGGGGCGACACACGUGUUACAAUGGCGUGGACAAAGGGAAGCCACCUGGCGACAGGGAGCGAAUCCCCAAACCACGUCUCAGUUCGGAUCGGAGUCUGCAACCCGACUCCGUGAAGCUGGAUUCGCUAGUAAUCGCGCAUCAGCCAUGGCGCGGUGGAUACGUUCCCGGGCCUUGUACACACCGCCCGUCAAGCCAUGGGAGCCGGGGGUACCUGAAGUCCGUAACCGCGAGGAUCGGCCUAGGGUAAAACUGGUGACUGGGGC
rnacentral:rRNA from 1 species